GAUUCCAACUUCACGCAGUCGAGUUGCAGACUGCGAUCCGGACUACGAUACACUUUCUGGGAUUAGCUCCCCCUCGCGGGUUGGCGGCCCUCUGUAUGUACUAUUGUAUGACGUGUGAAGCCCUACCCAUAAGGGCCAUGAGGACUUGACGUCAUCCCCACCUUCCUCCGGUUUGUCACCGGCAGUCUCAUUAGAGUGCCCUUUCGUAGCAACUAAUGACAAGGGUUGCGCUCGUUGCGGGACUUAACCCAACAUCUCACGACACGAGCUGACGACGGCCAUGCGGCACCUGUGUUCCAGUCCCCGAAGGGAAGAGAUCCAUCUCUGGAAAUCGUCCGGACAUGUCAAACGCUGGUAAGGUUCUGCGCGUUGCUUCGAAUUAAACCACAUGCUCCACCGCUUGUGCAGGCCCCCGUCAAUUCCUUUGAGUUUUAAUCUUGCGACCGUACUCCCCAGGCGGAUAACUUAAUGCGUUAGCUGCGCCACCCAAGCACCAAGUGCCCGGACAGCUAGUUAUCAUCGUUUACGGCG
rnacentral:rRNA from 1 species